UUACAACUCUCGCAAACGGAUAUCUUGGCUCUCACAUCGAUGAAGAACGCAGCGAAAUGUGAUAAUGUGGUGUGAAUUGCAGAAUCCCGUGAACCAUUGAGUAUUUGAACGCAAGUUGCGCUCGAGGCAGUUUGCCGAGGGCGUGCCUGCCUGGGCGUCUUUC
rnacentral:rRNA from 1 species